rnacentral:rRNA from 2 species
GGCGGCGUGCUAAUACAUGCAAGUCGAACGAGUUCUCGUUGAUGAUCGGUGCUUGCACCGAGAUUCAACAUGGAACGAGUGGCGGACGGGUGAGUAACACGUGGGUAACCUGCCCUUAAGUGGGGGAUAACAUUUGGAAACAGAUGCUAAUACCGCAUAGAUCCAAGAACCGCAUGGUUCUUGGCUGAAAGAUGGCGUAAGCUAUCGCUUUUGGAUGGACCCGCGGCGUAUUAGCUAGUUGGUGAGGUAAUGGCUCACCAAGGCGAUGAUACGUAGCCGAACUGAGAGGUUGAUCGGCCACAUUGGGACUGAGACACGGCCCAAACUCCUACGGGAGGCAGCAGUAGGGAAUCUUCCACAAUGGACGCAAGUCUGAUGGAGCAACGCCGCGUGAGUGAAGAAGGCUUUCGGGUCGUAAAACUCUGUUGUUGGAGAAGAAUGGUCGGCAGAGUAACUGUUGUCGGCGUGACGGUAUCCAACCAGAAAGCCACGGCUAACUACGUGCCAGCAGCCGCGGUAAUACGUAGGUGGCAAGCGUUAUCCGGAUUUAUUGGGCGUAAAGCGAGCGCAGGCGGUUUUUUAAGUCUGAUGUGAAAGCCCUCGGCUUAACCGAGGAAGCGCAUCGGAAACUGGGAAACUUGAGUGCAGAAGAGGACAGUGGAACUCCAUGUGUAGCGGUGAAAUGCGUAGAUAUAUGGAAGAACACCAGUGGCGAAGGCGGCUGUCUGGUCUGUAACUGACGCUGAGGCUCGAAAGCAUGGGUAGCGAACAGGAUUAGAUACCCUGGUAGUCCAUGCCGUAAACGAUGAAUGCUAGGUGUUGGAGGGUUUCCGCCCUUCAGUGCCGCAGCUAACGCAUUAAGCAUUCCGCCUGGGGAGUACGACCGCAAGGUUGAAACUCAAAGGAAUUGACGGGGGCCCGCACAAGCGGUGGAGCAUGUGGUUUAAUUCGAAGCAACGCGAAGAACCUUACCAGGUCUUGACAUCUUUUGAUCACCUGAGAGAUCAGGUUUCCCCUUCGGGGGCAAAAUGACAGGUGGUGCAUGGUUGUCGUCAGCUCGUGUCGUGAGAUGUUGGGUUAAGUCCCGCAACGAGCGCAACCCUUAUGACUAGUUGCCAGCAUUUAGUUGGGCACUCUAGUAAGACUGCCGGUGACAAACCGGAGGAAGGUGGGGAUGACGUCAAAUCAUCAUGCCCCUUAUGACCUGGGCUACACACGUGCUACAAUGGAUGGUACAACGAGUUGCGAGACCGCGAGGUCAAGCUAAUCUCUUAAAGCCAUUCUCAGUUCGGACUGUAGGCUGCAACUCGCCUACACGAAGUCGGAAUCGCUAGUAAUCGCGGAUCAGCACGCCGCGGUGAAUACGUUCCCGGGCCUUGUACACACCGCCCGUCACACCAUGAGAGUUUGUAACACCCGAAGCCGGUGGCGUAACCCUUUUAGGGAGCGAGCCU